rnacentral:rRNA from 1 species
GGCGGCGUGCUUAACACAUGCAAGUCGAACGCACCGGUUUACCGGUGAGUGGCGAACGGGUGAGUAACACGUGGGUAACCCGCCCUCAAGACGAGGAUAACCGUUGGAAACGAUGGCUAAGACUGGAUAGGAGCCUUGGAGGCAUCUCUGGGGCUUUAAAGGACCCGCAAGGGUACGCUUGAGGAGGGGCCUGCGGCGCAUUAGUUAGUUGGCGGGGUGAUGGCCCACCAAGACGAUGAUGCGUAGCCGGACUGAGAGGUUGAACGGCCACAUUGGGACUGAGAGACGGCCCAAACUCCUACGGGAGGCAGCAGUAGGGAAUUUUCGGCAAUGGGGGAAACCCUGACCGAGCAACGCCGCGUGAACGACGAAGUACUUCGGUAUGUAAAGUUCUUUUAAGAGGGAAGAAUGGCUGGCGGAAAAGCCAGAUUGACGGUACCUUUUGAAUAAGCCCCGGCUAACUAUGUGCCAGCAGCCGCGGUAAUACAUAGGGGGCAAGCGUUAUCCGG